GUUGGGAGCAGUGGCACAUGCCUGUAGUCCCAGUUACUCAAGAGGCUGAGGUGGGAGGAUCGCUUGAGCCCAGGAGUUCUGGGCUGUAGCGUGCUAUGCCAAUCAGGUGUCCGCACUAAGUCUGGCAUCAAUAUGGUGACCUCCCGGGAGAGGGGGACUGCCAGGUUGCCUAAGGAGGGGUGAACCGGCCCAGGUCGGAAACGGAGCAGGUCAAAACUCCCGUGCUGAUCAGUAAUGGGAUUGCGCCUGUGAAUAGCCACUGCGCUCUAGCCUGGGCAACAUAGCAAGACCCUGGCUCAA
ensembl:misc_RNA Metazoa_SRP Metazoan signal recognition particle RNA